rnacentral:lncRNA from 1 species
UUCUUCCUUAGUCUUUCCCAUAUAAGCUGGACUUCCCUUUUUGCUGAAGUGACUGGUUAGACUAUUUACGCCUUGAGUAUUCAAGAUUAUGAGCACUUGCUUAUGUGACGAGUGAGAGUUCUUAAUUUUUGAAAUUUCUUUUUGGGGCCUGGUAUGGAUUUGCUUACUCUACCUCUAUAGAUUGACAAAGCAGCCUAAUAAUGUCUUUCUUACCAUUCUACCUUAUAUAUUCUUCCAACCAAGCAAGUUUCUUUUCUUAUUUAUGUUAUGGUGUGUGAAGAAAGAAGUGCUCAUGUUAUAUAACUAAUAUUU